ensembl:lncRNA
CACCCGUGCUCACAGCAGCGCUUUUCACAGAUGCCAGAAGGUGAAAGAUCUCAAAAGUCCAUCCACUGAUGGAUGGAUAAACAAAUGUUGAUAUACAUGAAGUGGAAUUUCAUUUGCCCAUUAAAAGGAAUGGAGGGCUGAUCCAGUACUGAUGAGCCUCAAAAACACACUCAGCGCGUGACGCCAGACACAAAAGUCACCUAUCGUACGAUUCCAUUUACAUGAAAUAGCCAGAAUUCAGGGAAGUCCCGAGAGAGACAGCAACGUUAGCGGCUGCCAGGGUCUGGAGCCAGCGGGGCCGGGAGCUAGCAUGUAAUGUGUUCAGGGCCUCCCUUUGGGGCGAUGACAGUACUUUGAAAGUAGAUGCAGAUGGUGGUUGGAACAACAUGACGCCUGUACCAAAUCCACUGAACCCACUUCAAAACGGAUAAUUUCCUGUGAUAUGAAUUUUACAAUUAAAAAAAAUACCAAAAACCUCUACUGACUCUCUCCCCUAGAGGAUCUUCAGUUCGCUGGUUCAUGAACUUGUGCUGACAAAAUCCACACCAAACAGAUGGAAACAGAGUGUCUCAAAGCAGGUGUGACCUGGUUCAGCCAACGGACCUGCAGGAAGGAGGGAUCCGGGCCCAGGGGCGGAGUCUGUGUCUCCUCCGGGGCGUCCUGUCCUGGAAGACGUUUGGGUGGCGCUGGGGCCCCAACUCCACUCUCAUUCCUUUUAUUGAGCACAGGGGCCAGUCACGGUGUGAGGAUGGACCCGGGUCCGCUCAGCAGCAGCGCUGACCGACGGUCUAGUGCGCGUGUGGCCCCGAUCUCAGCACCGAGGCCCCCCCCCGCCCCAAAACCUUUGUCAGGAUAGGUUGGGGUGAGGGCGGCCCCUGAGAUGGUGAAACUGCAGAUCGUGAUCAGUCAAAUCCAUUCCGCCUGCCCGCACUAAUCAAGGGUGUUCUAAGACUCGCGUGUCCUCCAAUCAGGAAGCCAGAACCAUAAAAUACCCGCCGGGGUUGCUCUCUAGAAAGCCGGACUCAGCGGCGUCUAGUUGGAGCUGAGCUGUUAGGACUGGGUGGACCGCGGACCCUCCACUGGGCGUGGUCGCGGGUCCCUGGGCUCCGCCCCAGCUCGCGCUGCAGCGCAGAGGCGGAGCUUGGGUCCACCGCGCGGACCGCGGUCCCGCACCUUGUCCAUCGCUUUCCUCAGGCUCCCACGCCCCACGCCACCUGCUGCUUGGUCUUCAUCCGUGAGCACCCAGCCCGUGCCCACAGGGAGGCAGAUUCCAGAGCGUCUCUGGUCUCCCUGCCUGGUUGCCUUGUGGAUGAACCCGCUCUGUGCUGCUAACCUCAGCAUCUCCGUGUUUGGGUCUGCUUCUUGAAGGGGAAAGACAUCAAAACUGGUCCCGUAGCAACAGUAAAACCGUUACACGUAGCGCUCACCCCUCCAUCCCCCACAGAUUACUGACCACCUGUUUCUCUUCGAAUCCCUUCAAUAAAGAAUCUUGGAGGAAGCUUCCGUCUAGCCCAGGCCUCCGUUUUCCAGAUCCCUGGAGGGGCAGUGGGGGAAAGAUUAUAAUUCAAACAGAAGUCCCGGGUCCAUGUAGAACCCAAUCACCAUUCGCUACGGGGAGGAAUCCAAGUAGCAGAUCAGGCUGAUCGUCUGGGGCGGCCUAUAUUGAAGGUUUCAUGGGAAACUGCCUUCCAGGGACACAGCCCAGUAUUUUGCCUCUGGCCCCUCGAGACUCCGGGGCUCACCUCCCCGCUCCACUCCCGUCCUCUGGGCUCUGAUGGGGCUUCUCCGGGCCAGGGCCCUGCACCUGCAGACAGCCAGCAGCCCAGGGAACAGCAGGAGACAGGUGGGGAUCCCAGGCCGGUCCACCCACACAGGGUUAGACCGGAGGGGAGGGGCCAGCCGUGAGGACACAGGCAGCUGCUCUGGGAAGGCCUUUCUGGGGGGGGACACAGAAGGAGGCUGAAGUUCUUCCCUCCAGCCCACGCCAUGCAGAGUGGGGACUCCAGGAUUAGCGAGCUUCACCCCUAGGACAGUGCGGCCAGAGGGGCCCGUCCAGGGGUGUGUAAAGGAAUCGUGUGUUUCCCAGGGAUCCAGAAGAUGGGACAGGUUGGGACCACAUGCACAGGCCCUCAAAAACCCUGUAGGCACGUGAGCAAGGGGGGGAGACCAGCUUUCCUUCCCCCUCACCUCUCCCAGAGGCCACAUCUGUGACAGGGAGGCUGGACACUGAGCUCUGUGUCCCCUGAACAUUUCCUGGUUCCGAGUGUCAGGAGGGGAGGAGACCUGGUCCUCUUCCCACACCUCUCACCACUGCUUCGAGGGCAGACAC